UACGUAGGUGGCGAGCGUUGUCCGGAUUUACUGGGCGUAAAGGGCUUGUAGGCGGUCCGUUAAGUCCGAUGUGAAAUCUCCCGGCUCAACUGGGAGAGGUCAUUGGAUACUGGCGGACUAGAGGGGGGUAGAGGAAAGCAGAAUUCCUGGUGUAGCGGUGAAAUGCGUAGAUAUCAGGAGGAACACCGGUGGCGAAGGCGGGUCUCUGGGCCGAUACUGACGCUGAGGAGCGAAAGCGUGGGGAGCGAACAGG
rnacentral:rRNA from 1 species